GCUACAGGCUUAACACAUGCAAGUCGAGGGGUAGCAGGGUAGCAAUACCGCUGACGACCGGCGCACGGGUGAGUAACACGUAUCCAACCUUCCCAUUACUCGGGGAUAGCCUUUCGAAAGAAAGAUUAAUACCCGAUAGUACUUUUUCGAGGCAUCUCGUAAAAAGUUAAAGAUUUAUUGGUAAUGGAUGGGGAUGCGUUCCAUUAGAUUGUUGGUGAGGUAACGGCUCACCAAGUCUUCGAUGGAUAGGGGUUCUGAGAGGAAGGUCCCCCACAUUGGUACUGAGACACGGACCAAACUCCUACGGGAGGCAGCAGUGAGGAAUAUUGGUCAAUGGGCGAGAGCCUGAACCAGCCAAGUAGCGUGAAGGAUGACGG
rnacentral:rRNA from 1 species